rnacentral:rRNA from 1 species
CUAUACAUGACUCUGCGCAUAUCAAUAAGCGGAGGAAAAGUCAACUACCUACGCUUAGGAUGUUGACGAGACUGUCGAUCUCAUCUAUACAUGACUCUGUGCAUAUCAAUAAGCGGAGGAAAAGAAACUAACAAGGAUUCCCCUAGUAACGGCGAGUGAAGCGGGAAGAGCUCAAAUUUGAAAGUCUUCAAGGUUCUACCUUGACGAAUUGUAGUUUAUAGAAGUGUUUUCUGUUAGUAGGAGUGGCAAAAGUUCUUUGGAAUAGGACAUCAUAGAGGGUGAGAAUCCCGUAUUUGGUCAUUCCUUCCUAGCUUUGUGAUACACUUUCAACGAGUCGGAUUGUUUGGGAAUGCAGUCCAAAAUGGGUGGUAAAUUUCAUCUAAAGCUAAAUAUUGGCGAGAGACCGAUAGCGAACAAGUACCGUGAGGGAAAGAUGAAAAGAACUUUGAAAAGAGAGUUAAACAGUACGUGAAAUUGUCAAAAGGGAAGCGUUUGACACCAGUGUUGUUUUUUCCGAAAAUCAAUUACGAAUGUUUUAUUUUUGAGAAGUUAUGACUUCAUCGGCUUGCUUCCUUCUCUUUAUGAAACUUUCUUAAUGCACUUUUCGGUUAACAAGUCAACAUCAAUUUCUUUUGUUGUAAAAGGGUAUGAGGAAGGUGGCUUCUCUUUUCGGAGAAAGUGUUUAUAGCCUUGUGCCUCUGCAAUCGGAGAGAUUGAGGUCUGCAGCGUAGAUCCUUCGGGGUUAGAUACGUUUGUGCUAAGUUAUAGCUUUUCAUAGACAACUUGUUGACUAUGUUUAGUCUUGUAGCUUACUCGCUGACGCUAUUUUACCUACGCUUAGGAUGUUGACGAGACUGUCGAUCUC